GAUGAACGCUGGCGGCGUGCCUAACACAUGCAAGUCGAGCGAUCUUCUUCGGAAGAGAGCGGCGGACGGGUGAGUAACGCGUGGGUAACCUGCCCUGUACACACGGACAACAUACCGAAAGGUAUGCUAAUACGAGAUAACAUACUUUUAUCGCAUGGUAGAAUUAUCAAAGCUCCGGCGGUACAGGAUUGACCCGCGUCUGAUUAGCUAGUUGGUAAGGUAACGGCUUACCAAGGCGACGAGCAGUAGACGACCUGAGAGAGGGAUCGGCCACAUUGGAACUGAGACACGGUCCAAACUCCUACGGGAGGCAGCAGUGGGGAAAAUUGCACAAUGGGCGAAAGCCUGAUGCAGCAACGCAGCGUGAGCGAUAAAGGCCUUCGGGUCAUAAAGCUCUGUCCUCAAGGAAGAUAAUGACGGUACUUGAGGAGGAAGCCCCGGCUAACUACGUGCCAGCCGCCGCGGUAAAAC
rnacentral:rRNA from 1 species